ACCAGUUAGUUUUUGGCUAACAGUCUCUGCCGGCAAAACGUAUAUUACAUAAACGUUACUCGCUAGUCGACACAUUUAACCCGACCUUUCUAACGGGAGAACAGUAGGCUAAGUUACUGCAUUUAGUGUUUUUGUGGGAAAGCGCAGCAUGCUAGGUUUGUUCUCAACUGACACAAGCCUUCCCUUCAGCAGUCAACCCUGAGGAAGUUGAAGUCUGGAUACAUGAAGAACAUGCAGUUACUACAAGGUCACCUUAUAAACUCCAGAACAAGGUAUCAUACAGUAUAUCUCAAAAAGAGUGCUCUGAAAUGGCCUUUGCAUCAUUCAGGAGGAGCUGGGGGACUGAGGAGACAGAACGUUGCUUACCAUCUGGACUUAGAUGCUGCAACCCAGACCAGGAGAAGUGAUGAACAAUGCAUGGAUGGGUGGAUGAUUUGUAAAUGACUUGGAUGCUCAGGAAAUGUUCUUUUUAACCAGCCUUGUAAUUUCUUUCGGUUGACUUUUAUACUCUGACAUUACACAGAAAGAGUGCAGUUUAGUUCACUCAGAAUGAGUGAAGAAUUAGACCCUGGACAUCAAAAAAAUUAGAAAAUGUAUUGAAAGGGUAUUGAACGUACUUUUCAGUGAACUCUGGGAUAUUUGAAUUAAA